rnacentral:rRNA from 1 species
GAUGAACGCUGGCGGCGUGCCUAAUACAUGCAAGUCGAGCGAACGGACGAGAAGCUUGCUUCUCUGAUGUUAGCGGCGGACGGGUGAGUAACACGUGGAUAACCUACCUAUAAGACUGGGAUAACUUCGGGAAACCGGAGCUAAUACCGGAUGAUAUUUUGAACCGCAUGGUUCAAUAGUGAAAGACGGUCUUGCUGUCACUUAUAGAUGGAUCCGCGCUGCAUUAGCUAGUUGGUAAGGUAACGGCUUACCAAGGCAACGAUGCGUAGCCGACCUGAGAGGGUGAUCGGCCACACUGGAACUGAGACACGGUCCAGACUCCUACGGGAGGCAGCAGUAGGGAAUCUUCCGCAAUGGGCGAAAGCCUGACGGAGCAACGCCGCGUGAGUGAUGAAGGUCUUCGGAUCGUAAAACUCUGUUAUUAGGGAAGAACAUAUGUGUAAGUAACUGUGCACGUCUUGACGGUACCUAAUCAGAAAGCCACGGCUAACUACGUG